UACGUAGGGGGCGAGCGUUGUCCGGAGUUAUUGGGCGUAAAGCGCACGCAGGCGGUUUCGUACGUCUGGAGUGACAGUUCCCGGCUCAACUGGGAAAGGUCUUCGGAAACGGCGAGACUUGAGGGCUUCAGAGGGACACGGAAUUCCGGGUGGAGUGGUGAAAUGCGUAGAGAUCCGGAGGAACACCAAUGGCGAAGGCAGUGUCCUGGGAAGCAUCUGACGCUCAGGUGCGAAAGCUAGGGGAGCGAACAGG
rnacentral:rRNA from 1 species